CGGUAUGAUGUCGAAUUUAUGGCGUAAGCAAAAGUGGACACAUAUCGGUAAGAAGUAUCCCGAUGUCAGUUGCAAAGAUGCUCCCGUCCCCCCCCCCCCCCCCGCCCUCCCCGUCCCGACUUGUGACUGUAGUAAGCGAGCCGUGGUUCUUCAGUCGCUACACGAAGAUACUGCCGGUCGGGCUUACUACCUUUGCCCGGAUUAUUGUGAGUGGGAGAUGUGCUAUUUCUUCCAAUGGAUUGAUGGGCCCGAAAUGUAUGAUCAGAGGAUUCUGAAGGUGAAAUGGUUUAGUCAGUAUCCGAAGCCAUAUGACAAGUUUGUUCGUUGGGUCCCCCCACCACCAAAUCCGCAAAAAUUGACGGAUAAAGAGAAGUGGCAAUUGAAGAGUAUACGUGUUGUGGAUCCUCUGUUGUGCAAUUGCGGAAAGCGAAGCGUACUUUGUGAACCUUCUGGGGGGGUCCCCUUACUUCUGCUACGAAGGGAUGACAAGGCGUCAUGGUGUUACCUGUGGCUUUCGGGAUCCAUUGUACGGUCCUGAUGGUCAAUGGAAAGAUGAGGAAAAAGAUGAAGUGAAGGGGAAAAGGGUUAUAGAACCAUGUGCCCCAAGAAAAUGCCCUUGUGGUGUGAAUGCGAAACACGGGAUAGUGCCAUCAUAACUUGGAGUGGGGUACUACUGCGGACAUGUGGUCGGCAAUGAUAUGAGAACGCGGAAAUGUUCAUGGGAGGAGUACCUCGAUAAAGGUGCAGUUGAUCAUGAGAUUGCAUGGUGGAGUAAGCGUCCUCCAAACGUGUUGUCAAGCUAUUUGAUGAAUAGGAAGAAAGAAACUCGUGAUUACUACCGUGCUUUGUAUCCCCCCAUGAGAAGAACCACCAUGGAGGGUCAAGAUGUUUCGGCUACGAAGGUGGAAAUAGAGACAAUGAAGGCGCUUGUUGGUAAUUUACCCAUGGUUAUCCUGGACGACGAUGAGAAUGAGGUGUUAUAUGAUGGGCUAGACGAUUAGACCUAACAGUAUAAAUAUAAAUGAAUGAAUUGUCUUAUGUUAACUAUUUGUGAACGUGAUAUGUAAUCAUCGUCGACGAGCAAUGAAUAUCUGUAAGUCAGACCUAAUUUUAAUAUGCCAACAAAUUUGC